AGCAGCAGAGAAGAGCAGAGACCAAGGACCUCCCUGGGGCAAGGAAGCAGGACUUGAAGAGGAGAGCCAUGGACGGUCCUGAUGAGCCCUGUGGGAAGAAAAAGAGGAGACAGAUGUGAAGAUUAAAGCCAGUCUUCAGUAAGCAAAGACUGCAAUAAAGUGAAAGGUCUUUGCUGAAGUCAGAAGAGAGACCUGUGCUCUGGUAUUGACCAGCAGCCUGACCGACCUGUUCCACUCCACCAGACAGGGAUUACAGUGACUGAGACUAGAAGAAAACGUGACCAAAAUGUUUCUCCAGGACAUCAAAUCCCUUCCAGUUUUUUGUAGUUGUGAAGCCUUAGGAACUUAGAAACUUAGUUUAG